rnacentral:rRNA from 1 species
AAUUCGCCCUUAGAGUUUGAUCCUGGCUCAGAUUGAACGCUGGCGGCAUGCCUUACACAUGCAAGUCGAACGGUAACGCGGGGCAGCCUGGCGACGAGUGGCGAACGGGUGAGUAAUAUAUCGGAACGUGCCCAGUCGUGGGGGAUAACUGCUCGAAAGAGCAGCUAAUACCGCAUACGACCUGAGGGCGAAAGCGGGGGAUCUUCGGACCUCGCGCGAUUGGAGCGGCCGAUAUCAGAUUAGGUAGUUGGUGGGGUAAAGGCCUACCAAGCCGACGAUCUGUAGCUGGUCUGAGAGGACGACCAGCCACACUGGGACUGAGACACGGCCCAGACUCCUACGGGAGGCAGCAGUGGGGAAUUUUGGACAAUGGGGGCAACCCUGAUCCAGCCAUGCCGCGUGCGGGAAGAAGGCCUUCGGGUUGUAAACCGCUUUUGUCAGGGAAGAAAUCCUUUGGGCUAAUAACUCGGAGGGAUGACGGUACC